ACUCCUACGGGAGGCAGCAGUGGGGAAUAUUGCACAAUGGGGGAAACCCUGAUGCAGCCAUGCCGCGUGUGUGAAGAAGGCCUUCGGUUGUAAAGACACUUUCAGUAGGGAGGAAGGUAGUGUAGUUAACACCUGCAUUAUUUGACGUUACCUACAGAAGAAGCACCGGCUAACUCCGUGCCAGCAGCCGCGGUAAUACGGUAGGGUGCGAGCGUUAAUCGGAUUACUGGGCGUAAAGCGCAUGCAGGCGGCCUGUUAAGUCAGAUGUGAAAGCCCGGGGCUUAACCUCGGAAUUGCAUUUGAAACUGGCAGGCUAGAGUCUUGUAGAGGGGGUGAGAA
rnacentral:rRNA from 1 species